rnacentral:rRNA from 1 species
CUGGCUCAGGAUGAACGCUAGCUACAGGCUUAACACAUGCAAGUCGAGGGGCAGCAUGGUCUUAGCUUGCUAAGACUGAUGGCGACCGGCGCACGGGUGAGUAACGCGUAUCCAACCUGGCCCUUAGUAGGGAACAGCCCGGCGAAAGUCGGAUUAAUGCCCUAUGUUUUCCAAUGAUGGCAUCUGACUUGGAACAAAGAUUCAUCGCUAAGGGAUGGGGAUGCGUCUGAUUAGCUUGUCGGCGGGUAACGGCCCACCGAGGCGACGAUCAGUAGGGGUUCUGAGAGGAAGGUCCCCCACAUUGGUACUGAGACACGGACCAAACUCCUACGGGAGGCAGCAGUGAGGAAUAUUGGUCAAUGGGCGUAAGCCUGAACCAGCCAAGUAGCGUGCAAGGAAGACUGCCCUAUGGGUUGUAAACUGCUUUUAUGCGGGAAUAAAGUCAGGUACGCGUACCUGUUUGUAUGUACCGCAUGAAUAAGGACCGGCUAAUUCCGUGCCAGCAGCGGC